CAGCUCAGCUCACUGGAGUCCUAAUCAAGAAUAUAAAGAACAUGCAUCCUUCACGGCAUCCUGAAGUGAUGUUAGGAAUCAAGACUAAGACCUCUUAAGCCUCACAGCAGAGCCUUAAUUCAGUAUUGAACUUUGAGGGGCAAGAGAAGAAGAAACUGUGAGGAUGUGUGAUGGAGAACUAAACUCGCUGUGAAAUAAAAUGGGGAUUGUUAGCAUAGAACCACAGGCUUAUCCUUCUAAGACCAGGAAGACAUAGUGGCCGCUUGUGAUGGACUCCUGCUUCCCAGCUACUGUGCAAAUCCAUAUGGAGAGCAUUAUUCUAGUUUUCUAAAUCCAGGGAUUUCUAUGAAAACCCCAGAAAUGUAAAAGGAGCGCGUCUUCUGAAGUACCUCCGUGGCAAUGCUCUGUUACCAAGUUCUGACUGUAAAAGAACCCCGUGGAUUGCUAAUUGACUGUUAAAGCCACAGUCACGAGUUUCCUCUGAUUUAACGCACCUGUUUGCUGAACACCUGUGAAAACAUUUGUACAACUUGGCAAUGACAAGGCUUAUUGUCCAGUUCUGGUGUUAUUAUAAAUAUGUCUCGGAGACGCUGUGGCGAAACUUCGUCUGUUACCCGGAAUUUGAAUUUUGACAAAGGGAUAGUACAAAAUUAACCUGGUAGAUUAGUCUUCAUGGUUCAAGGGUGUAUUUCUUACUAAGUUUAUCUAGAAUGAAAUGAUAGUCUCGUUGUGUACAUUUUACAUUUGGUAAAUUGGCUCAUUGUCGAAAAACUAAGGGGGGAAACAAUGGAUCAAGAGCCGAGGGGGAAAAUGUGUGAAGAUAUAUGAAAUUUAUUAAAAUAUAUUUCUGAUGUUUUGUUUGAGUGUUUAGUAAUAGUGUCCUUCUGGCUCUAUGACAAUGUGCAAUAAAGACAGAUGUCUUGCAUAUUUCACUGUCACAGUGACUUAUCUCUGACAUCAGAAAUGCGGUACUAUUAUCACAAUGCGACACUACCCUUUAGAGCGCAAGGGUGAUUCUCUAGAACCAAGAUUCUGGAAGGACAUCCCUGUGGGCCAAGUGUUCAGAAGGAGUAAUAGGGGAAGAAGUGUGCAUUUGAAGGAGUUCCUUUUUUCUGACUGAUUUUCAGCAUCCGUACUUUGAAGAGAGAGAAAAGGGCCAUCCUUGUUAGUUCUGCAGAGGGCAUACACACGAGAGAAGACAAAUAAUUCUGAGAACAUUGAUGUUUAGUCAAAGCAAAGGCAGAAUCCUUCAAGGUGGCUGAAGCAACCAUGAUUUGACAGAAAGGACCGCCUUCUCGGGACCGAUAUGAGGUAAGUCUAGAGGAUUUGAUAAGACUGUGGGCUUAGUGUAACACGAUUGUUUUAAAAUGUAAUUAAAUCAAUGUAUAAAUCAACUGUGGAUUUUUUUAUGUAAAUAAAGAUCGCGGUCCUAUUGUACUGGAAAGUUGGGCUCACUCGAGUCAUGUUGGAAAGCAUCUUCUUUAUUUGUGCACUUGACAUCCUGGGAGGAAGGCAAGUCUGAGCAGGCUGUGAAGGUCUUUAGAGAAUGCUGGCAGGGAGAUGGCGAGGCCACUGGCGACAGGGUGGAAACACUGUGGUGAGCUGCCAGUCAAGGGUCAGCAGCUAUGAGGAAUACUAUUGACAGACGCUCAGAUUGCCUUUUAACGUCAGACAUUUUCAGGCGGGUGGACCUUUGGGCUCACGAUCUCAAAUGACCCAAGUUGGUGGUGUGUACUGACAAGGAGUUCUACAGAUAACAAUCACAACUAGAAACUUCAGGGUUUCCUUAGGGGUGUCACCAAGCUUAAGAAAUAUGACAUCCAAUUGUGACUGUCCCCUAACGCUGGGUUCUUAGAAGUCUAGCUGCCAAUCCUCACUUGAAAGAAUGCAAAUAGGUCCACGCUAGAACCAAGUGCUUUUGGAUUUCUGUAUACUGGAGCAAAAUGGGAUUUUGCUCUUAUUGCUCUUUUGUACAGAAAAAUGUCAACCCAAACAAUCCAACUUCCAAUCCUUAGCCAGUUCAUGAAGUUCCCAGCAUGCUUCACUGUUUAUACCUAAUAUAGUCUUUCAUACCUUGCCGCUAUUUAAAGCUAAGCUGUCUGUCACUCAGUCCACCAAAAAUAGGCAAGAAAAACAUAAAUUUUUUCCUUAAGUUGUACCCUGGAGAACAGAGAGGCUCAUUUGAACAAUGACUCACAAAAUUCCAUACUUACUUGACAUUGUUGUUAAAUAGUAAUGGUUAGAAAGUUCUAGUAAGACGCCUGGCAUAUUUUAAUUUGUUCAACUAGAUCUUAUUUGCUCUCAUCUUGGUUAGUCAUUUAUCCCUGCCCCCUCUGUUUACAAAAACUCAACUAUUUCUUUAAACCCUUGAUGUUCAUAACUCUUGGAAAUGCUUGAAGGCUCCCUUCUGAGAUUCCAAAAUGCACAAGGCCAUGAGCUCGUCCCAUCUGGAAUGAGGUGGCUGCAUCUUCAGGGGAGAGCCACUGAGGUGUGGACUUCUCUACCACAGCAUCCAGAGACUAUUGUAUAUUGUACUGCUGUAUUCCAGGCUCAUUGAGAGAAAGGGUGUCUGUCUGGAAAUUUGCGGUAACUUGCUAAUCACCAAUCUCAUCAUUUCCUUUCCUACUGAAAAUACAAGUGUUUCCUCAAAGCCAUGAGUAAUGGAAACCCAGAAUCCACCAGGAUCAUGCAUGCUUGUAUUAAAUCUAUCCCAGUAUGUCUGAGGAAAGCAGUCGCUUUUCAGUAAUAACUAAAUAAUUUCUAGUUUAUUCUUUUAUCAUUAACAUGUGGGCUGUCUGUACUUCUUGAUUAUGGCAAAAGUCAGUAAUGUCACUUAUUGGGGAGGAAGUAAAAAAUACAAAAACCCAAAACGUUAAUUCUUAUUUACAGAAGCACAACUUCACAAAUAUACAUGCAAUCACACACACAUGUGCACAUACAUGCACACACAAACUCAUGCACACAGUGCACACACAUACACACAUGUCCAUACAUGCACAAACAUGUGCGCGCACACACGCAAUCAGGGGCAGAAUCAAACAACUCAAAUUUUAGGUAGCUUUCAGUCACAUGUUCUUAAUCUAACUUCUUUUUAUCUUAUUACUAAAGUGGGUGUCCUGUUAAUGUGGACCAAAGGGGGGAAAAAACCAAACCAAAACAAAACAACCACAUGUAUGUGUCUGACUUUUUAAAUUAAUUCCUUGAUUAGAACACAAAUGAGUUUCACUGUGACAUUUUCAGACAUAUCUCUUAUUUUUGUUCUUAUUCAUGUCCCCUACCACCCUUUCCAGUCUCUCUUGUCUACUCUGGGUCCCUUUUCAGUUCCUCGACAGCCCUGAUUCUUCUCUCUUGACACAUGCCUUCCUUUAUCUUCUGCUGUCUCCUGCUUUCGAGCUCUCUCUCUGUUUGCAUCCCCCUCACACACAUCCACAUUCUAAUAAAAUCUAGAAAUCCAAGCAAAUAUAAUUUAACUUAGGCAAUGGGAGACUUCUUUUAAAACACAAAAUCGCAGGACUUUUAUCAUAUGAAAUACACUAACUCUAGUAAGGUAAGCUGUCAACAGACAUCCCCUGAAGGUUUGCAUGCUGACCACUAAGCUGACUGCUCUGGUUGCAAAUUCCAAACAGAAUCUAACUGGAAGCCAACGAUUCGUUCACAUAUUAAAAUUCACAAGAAGAAGAUCAUUAAAAGAUUCAUAGUUCUGAUAGGACCAGGGUUAGAGGGGAUAUACAUUAAUGGAAGCCUACAACAGUUAGGCUAUCUUUAGCUGCCAACUCAGCUCCAGAAAUAGGGUCUGCCAUAUGUCUUUCCAUAUUAUCUCAAGUGUCUGUCUGUCCCCUGGGGUUCUCAACUUGAGAACUGAUAUCUAAGAAAAUAUCCAUUUCACAAAUCUACACUUAAAAAAAGCAACAAACGUCAGCCCAUAAAUUAUCAUAACCAUGUAAAAGCAGGAGGGAUGUUGGGAGUGACAGGAAUUAUUCAUUCACUUGGGCUUCUGUUAGAGUUGACAGCAGAGAAGUCCCCAGAAACUAAUAAAUCACAACACAGUUUACCAUUCCAAAUGUCACAGUCUUUGUACAGCUCCCAUUUAAAGCUCAAAGACUGCUGAUUUUGAGGAAACAGGGCCAGAACCUCGAAGCCCGUUGCAUUUUUUGACAAUAUUUUCAUCGCAUUUUCUAACUGGCAGAGUCAUCCACGCCAACACGUUCUAAAUCACAGCGGCACGCGGAGCCCAGUGGUGUUGGAAGCUAUUUUACGUGUGUGUGUGGGGGGGGUGGGGGGGUGACUGCUUUGCUAGGUUUUGGAAACAAUUACCAGAGUCUGUGACACAAAAAUGUCAGCUUGUUCCCCUUCUUUAGGAAAAAAAUACUGCAAUCAGACUGGUUACUUAGCACAAAUUAUGUUUUCAUACGCUUGGCUAUAUUUUAAUGCUGCCCUGUGACACACGUAUCAUCAAGAAAAUACUGAUUGGAGAUCUUCUGAAUUGAGAACACGAGGAAUAUGUAGUAUGGAAUGUUUAUAAAGAAAAUUUGGUUUCCUUCAAACGUAUGGAUGAGCGCUAAGCCCAGGAAAUAAUGCUCGAAUGAGUCCCCCAGGUCUUAUUUUAAUGACUGCAUAAAAUGGGCUGCGCAUCAAGUAUUAAUUUAUAGGCAGCAAAUGGUUUUCAAGGUUUCUGUGUAGUUUAUAUGUGUAAGCACAUAUAGUAGCACUUCGUCCAAGAAGCUAGCUCUCGGUAUCCUCCAAUGCAACGCCAGAUCCGGCUCUCACUGGGUUAGGCCAGUUUCUAUAUUGCUCUGUGUAAGCUCCAAUUCAUAGGCGACUCACAUGCAUUCCUCGCUCUGCUCUGGGUUUGAGAAAUCCCCUCCUCAAAUAUGACUCCAUUUCCCCUACAUCUCCCAUCUGGUGUCUGGCCUCAUUCGUUCUUCAUUUAAUUAAUAGCCAGGCAUUGCAAAAGCUCAUUUUAUUUCAGACCCCAUGUAAACCAAGACGUGGGGUCUCCCCUUGAGGUGGCACUACCUCUCUGCUAUGUGUGUCCUCAGAAGUAAAAAUAAAAGCCAUCUUACUCUGGAAAGAUCACAUCUGUUUGCUGAAGUCCUCCAUUUAAUUUUGUUCUAGACUGUAGAGAUUGGGUAGGGGUUUAGGCAUGUUUAGUCCUUUCUAUUUUACAUAAGAGAAGCACAGAUUAAGCAUAGCAUAGCACUUGGUCUGGAGAAGAUAAUAAUUAAUAACAACAACAAUAAUAAACAAUAAUCAAUGAACAGUGACUUGGAGGCCAAUACUAUUGGUGGCUACCCCUUGAGAAUAAAGAACACCUAAUAGAUGAUCUUCUGUGCACGGUAGGAGGUGCCAUGGUGCAUAACAGUGGAAGUGGAUGUUCUUCAUCACUUGUCUUAAGGUGUUCUAGGUCUCUCUUCAUUGCACUUUAAGUGGCUUAGGCUCCUUCUGUGGUCCAUUGCUAAGAGCACAAAGUGGACCCUUGAGGAGCACUCAGACUCCUCCCCUGUCUGUCCCACAGCAUCCUCAUGAAUGCAUGGAACUGAAGUAGACAAAUGAGCAUGACUUUCCAUAAGUUUGCAUAUAUUACACGGUGUCCCAUAAUAAAAUUUCAUCUUGGAUACGUACAAACACAAAAUCAGGAAGCACAUAGCCUGACCCUUGCAACGUGAAGGCGCGCCCUGUCAAUGGAGGAACCCAUUGCGGCUGUUAGUAUUUUUAUUUAUCUUGAUUCUGACCACUUUGUCCAGAGAGGAGGGAGAGGAGCCCUCAUGGAAGUGAGUCACAUUUUGGUUAUAAUCACCGGAACACUCGAAGAUGAAAUCAUUUUAUUCAGCUGAACCAACAUUAUAAAAAGUAAAUUACUUCAUAUAUCUUUGGCAUGCGGCUAAUUUAGCUAUUUUGAGCAUUUCCUGGAAUUAUCUAUCUCACCCAUUCUUUCUUUGCUGGAUUAUGCCCAUAUCAGUCUUUCUUCCUUUCCAGCACUUUCCUGGUCAUGUUAAUGAAAAGGAGGAGGAAGAAACUUGUGGCUUUGGUGACCUUCAAGUCUUUAAGGCGAAGAGAAAAGAUGCCACAAAGAAUCACACUUUAACAGCUCAAGGAGCAGCGCUGGAGACAUACUGUAAGAACCCGAGAGCAGGAAGGAGUUCUGUGAUAUGCUGUCUUCUGGCUAUUCCGCUAAGAACUCACAGCAGCUAUGGUUGUUUUUACAAGAACUGCACAGGACCAAACCAGCCAGGCCCUGCCCUAUACUGAAGAGCUUCUGACAAUAACUGCAGGGAGGGAUCAUUCAUUUAUUCUUAUAUGGCUGAAUAGAAUCUGUGUUGAUUGCACCUUCCUUUGGCUCAUUAAGGAUCUGAGAGCGGCAGCUUCCUGGGAGUGAGUAGGAGCUGGUUUGAUUGACGGAUCUCCUCAGUGCACCAGACUUCACAGGCGGAGAAGAUGCCCACUGGGAGAACACGUCAGCCAAGGCCAGGUUGCUAUGACGCAGCCCGCCCCUGGGGGACAGAUGUCCCCCUUACUUGAAAGAGGUAGAAGAGACUUCAGCAGAGGCAGUAGAAGAAUGGCAAAAUGAUUACUAGUGACUUCAAACUGUAAUUAGAUUUUAAACAGCAGGAAAAAAAAAAAGGUCCAAUCCUUGACUUUCUUUCACACAGCGUUGCCCAUUUGGGACAUUUUGUGCUCGUUGGCUCAACCAUCUCAUUCAAAAGAGGCUCAUGUGUUUGUAGGAUACUGAAAGCUGUUAAUGAGUGAGUGUGGGAUCUGUUGGCUUUGAACUUGCCCAUUACAUGCACGAACACUCGGACCCAUAAAUUACUCCCUGGGAGUAAUCUUUAGUCAGUUGCUAAGAGAUGGCCAGUUCAUGGUUUCCUUUGAUUACAGGGCAUAACCGCUCACUGUCAAAAUGCCAAAAUAAAACUUAAAAACCCCAACAGUGUUCACGUAACCUACUGCUUUCCUGUUACUUCCAGUAAGAUAUUAAAACUCAGAGGGUUUUGAACAAAGGGAGGUGACAAAGAGAGCCAAGAAUGUCUCUGGUAGCGGAGCAAGGCUUUUGUUCUCCAACAGCAGCCCAGCAUUCAACAGAUAGUGUUUGCUUUAUGAAAUUAUUCAUUUAUUUGCUCAUUUCUUAAAACAAUAGCAUUACUCAUGGUUAGGAGGUGAUAUGAGGUAAGGGUCCCUUACCACAUAAAGUAAGUGUUUACAUACAUGUGUGUGUGCAGUUUUAGGUCAAAAAAGGCAGUGUGCCACAAACUGAGAAAAACAACCAUGUCAAGGGAGCUAAACUAGGAAAAAGAGAGGAAACAGGAAGGGGAAAGACCAGAGCUCAAUUCACUGCUUCCUCUAUGAACACUUUUGAGUGACGUCAUCUAUUCUGCUGGUGGCCAGCACAGUGCAUACGGUGACAAUUACUUGGGAGCUGGAGGACAUAGAGUGACUUACUUCUAUGAUCUACUGGCAGUUUCUACAACCAUAAAUAGGGUAGGACCAAGGGGCAGACGGGAUGAACUGAUGUAGGCAACAGAAAGGCACCUGGCAUAAAACACAAUGAAAAAAAAAAAGAUACAAGCUGUUGUUUCUCCCAGAGACUAUCA